ensembl:lncRNA
GUAGUAGUAGUGGUAGUAGUAGUAGUAGUAGUAGUAGUAGUGGUAGUAGUAGUAGUAGUGGUAGUAGUAGUAGUAGUAGUAGUAGUAGUAGUAGUAGUAGUAGUAGUAGUGGUAGUAGUAGUAGUAGUAGUAGUGGUAGUAGUAGUAGUAGUAGUAGUAGUAGUAGUAGUAGUAGUAGUAGUAGUGGCAGUAGUAGUAGUAGUAGUAGUAGUAGUAGUAGUAGUAGUAGUAGUAGUAGUAGUAGUAGUAGUAGUAGUAGUAGUAGUGGUAGUAGUGGUAGUAGUAGUAGUGGUAGUGGUAGUAGUAGUAGUAGUAGUAGUAGUAGUAGUAGUGGUAGUAGUAGUAGUAGUAGUAGUGGUAGUAGUAGUAGUAGUAGUAGUAGUAGUAGUAGUAGUAGUAGUGGUAGUAGUAGUGGUAGUGGUAGUAGUAGUAGUAGUAGUAGUAGUAGUAGUAGUAGUAGUAGUAGUGGUAGUAGUAGUAGUAGUGGUAGUAGUAGUAGUAGUAGUAGUGGUAGUAGUAGUAGUAGUGGUAGUAGUGGUAGUAGUGGUAGUAGUAGCAGUGGUAGUAGUAGUAGUAGUGGUAG